UACGAAGGGGGCUGGCGUUGUUCGGAAUUACUGGGCGUAAAGCGCGCGCAGGCGGUUCUUCAAGUCAGAGGUGAAAGCCCAGAGCUCAACUCUGGAAUGGCCUUUGAGACUAGAGAACUAGGGUACGGGAGAGGUGAGUGGAAUUCCGAGUGUAGAGGUGAAAUUCGUAGAUAUUCGGAAGAACACCAGUGGCGAAGGCGGCUCACUGGCCCGUUACCGACGCUCAGGCGCGACAGCGUGGGGAGCAAACAGG
rnacentral:rRNA from 1 species